AAUGGCGUAAAAACUUGUUGGACUCUUACAUAACGGUACGUGAUGCACAAUAUACAUUUUUGAUUUUUCAUAGAAACUAAAAUUAUUAGAAGUAUUCAUUUCAAUGAUUUUUUGUAUCUUUUGUUCUUUUUCUUUUAUCAACUUGUAUCUUUUGUUUUAUAAAUUAAAUAGAAAUAUUUAUUUAAAAGAAACAGUUAUAUAAUUGUUCUUUUUUGAAACAAUUUCAUUAAUAGAAAAGAGUUUUAGUUGGAGGCAUUAACGUCCUCUUCAACUACCAACGACACAACAACAUUCAAAGCAGUUUUAGUCAAACAAUCGGCCAAGACAUUUCUUUCUCGUGGAAUCCACACGAAACAUACAAACUCAAAGUCUUCACCUAGCGUGAGGAUAUCUGAGACGAUGCCAUACAAGCCAGCUCCACUUGCUCCCGAAUUUAGCGCCUUCACCAGGAUCUCUGAAUCUGAUUCAACCUGUAUCGUCUUCAAACCCUUCCGUUGGCACAGAACCCACCCGAGUCCUGCUAUGUUUCGCUGUUCCGCCCACGCUGCAUCUGAUCUGACAACGGCCGUGUUGGGUGGAGAUACCACCUCUGCUUGGGGAUGCUUCCUUUUCUUCUGAUUUUCCAGUUUAUGUCCCUCAUUCCACUCCCUUGCCAGCACAAUAGCUGUUGUAUCUUCAGGAGUUGCUGAGAAGCCUUCGAACACGAAUCGGUUUCUCGCCUUCCACAAAGCCCACAUAAUCCAGGGGAAGAGUGAUCCUGCCAGGAUCCCAGCAGGGGGAAGGCAUUGCUUUCCACACCACGCAACCCAGGUUUGCUACCAAUUCUAUCGUUCCUCUGCACUCCAACUCAUUAAUAAAGGGAGCAAGGCUCCAUACUUUUUGUGCAAAAGGACACUUGUUGGGUAUGGAUUUACAUCCUCCUCAAGGCCCAUUAGACAUUGAACUAGACUCAUAUUGCUAGGAAGCUCUAAGCUUCAUCUUUCUAUAAAUAAGGAGCUACCUACUUAUUAGAAAGGAUCUUCUCCUCUUCUUAGACUUUAAGAACAUAUUUUCAUAGAGAUUUUGUAUUCUAAGGUUCACUUUACCGUUGUAAUCAUCUUGGUGAUGAACCUUCAAUCAAUGAAAUCUCUUUUAUAUUCUUUUUCACAUUUGAUUUCAUCUAAAGAUUUCUCCUAAGCCUCAAGAAUCUAAUUCUUAUUCUUAGAUUCUUUUAUUGUAUUGAUUCAACAAACAUCACCAGCAUAAACACCUUUUUUGGAUCAAACAGUUGGCGCUAGAAGGAGAGGGCCAAAGAGAACAAUCUUCGUAGCAUGUCAAACUUGGAAAAACCCGAGAUCUAGAGUAAAAAAAAAAGUUUCUCAUGAAAGCUUGGCCCACCAAAGAGCCCAAGAUUCUGAUCAUCUUCCCGUCUCGUCAAGGUGAGAACUGGUCGUGAUGAUCCGAUGAUUCAGAUCUGGGCAUCUCGUCUUCAUGGAUGACGAACUCGUCAAUUCGCUUCUCCACCACCACGUCGAGUUCAAUCACAUGCCGAACUCACCUCGAUCCAUCGGUGACUGCUCGAGCUUCUUUCCAGUCCGUGAAGAAAGUAAUGGGUCAAUCUCAUUUCAGCCAUCUCCGCCGUCGUUAGCCAUCGCCGAAGAACAGAAACCACGGUGGUCUCUGGAUAAAGAAAGAAGCUCUCUUGCGAAAUACCCACCAAAGUUCGAAAAUUUAUUCCAAAGCAUCACUAUCUUGCCGUCUAUUCCGCAUUUGUAAUCAACCGAUCUCUCCUCUCUCUGGAACCGAUCUUCGAGCCCUCCAUCUUCUGAGGAAGCAAGAAACCAAUCUCUCCCAUCUCUGAAACCAAACUCUAUCGAUCUCAGACAUGAAGUCCGCUCCUUUCCAACAUAUGUCAUUAAACUGACAGAUCCAGAACGCGUUACUGUCGCCACAUAAAACCGAAAGUCUCAGUCUUUGCCGGAGAGUGGAUCAGAAGUUGAUGAGGAGGAAGACAAUUCAGUGGAAGCCGAGGUCAGAUAAAGUUUAUGUUCUCCAUCUUCUUGUAUGGUCAGAUGAGCAACCACUUGAUCUUCCUUGAGAAAUACAUGUUCUUCACUGCGUUGUUGGAUCGAGUUCUUGCCUAGUCGGAUGAGAAACCACUUUGCCCAUCCCUUCGAUCUCGAAGCUGCUGUUCAGAAACGAGACAUGGCAAAGACUCGAUCUCUUACUGGACGCGACCUUAACAAACCAAGUCUCUUCAAAGGCAUCGAUCUCCCAAGAAUCAACUUUGUUUCGAAUCGCUGCUUCAGAAAGCUCAAAAAUUUAUCUCGUCACAAGCUCUCCUUCUCGAUCCAUAGAUAUCGUCACCUCAUCCUUUCUCUUGUGAAGAUUACAACGAAGCUCAAGGCUUGUUCCCGGAAAAGAUCAAAACGAUCCAUUGAGGCAGAGCUCACCACCAGAAGGCUGCUUGAGAGAUGUUGGAUCCUGCAGAGAUGAGGAUGUGACGGUGGCUUGUCGACUUGAAGGCUCAGUCUUUCACGCUCCAUCAGUGGCAACGAGCUCAUCAUGAGAUCAUCUCAAAACAAUCCUUCUUCAGCGACUAGCAACUACUUGUCCUCAAAGAUAAGUGUUCUAUAAUCUUGAUUGCUUUAUUGCUUGCAACCUAUGCAUACUGUUUAGUUAUAAAUAAAUCACUAACAUCAUAUGCAAGAGCUGAGCAAUUAUCUGAUCAUCAUCAUUGCUUGCUUAUCAAUUACACAAAACUUUGAUUAUCUCUUUUGGAUAAACUUGAUCUGAUAAUCAUCAUAUUUUUCUUUGUGAGCCAGAAUCAAUUGCGAGGCAGACAUACGACAAGCUCAGACUCUAGUACAAGCUCUAGCUGACGUGAUCACAGUCCGCACAACUCCUGCUGACUUCAUCAUCGCCAAUCACGAGCUCACCACAAACCUCGCAACUCCACAGCGCGUUCAUCAACGUUAUCCUAGCCUGACAAGCAUACACGCCAACAACUUGCUCGGCACACACGAUCUCAACACGAGACUUCGGGUCAGAAAUAGUUCGGUAAAUAUGUAUUUUAGGCACGAGUUUAAAUUGAACUUGCUUUUUAUUAGGCACGAGUUUGCGGUAGACUCGCUUAUUGUUAGACAUGAGUUUACAAAAACUCGCCCUUGGCUAGGCAUGAGUUUACAGAAACUCUCCUUUUACUAGGCACGAGUUCUCAAUAAACUCGCCUCUCUCUCGGCAUGAGUCCAGUAAACUCGUCUUUCACUAAGCACGAGUUUAAAGCAAACUCGUCUUUUACUAGGCACAAGUUCAAUGUAAACUUGCCUAAAUCGUCAUAGGCAUGAAUGCACUAGUUCAUUGUCUCAUAAACCCGUUGGGGGUGGAUUUACAUCCUCCCUCAAGGCCCAUCAGACAAUGAAUUAAGCCCACUUCAUUAUGAAACCCUAGACAUCUUUCAUCUAUAAAUAAGGAACUAUCUCCUUAUGAGAAAGAUUCUCUUCUUCCAUUUUAGACCUAGAACACUUCUUACAAAGAGUUUAUGGAUUCUUAGAUUUACUUUACACUUGUAAUCAUACAUGUAAUACAAUCUUUGAUCAAUAAAUUCUUUUUGAUGUUCA